rnacentral:ncRNA from 1 species
AUUAAAGAGGUUCCUAGCUUCCAACCCUCUAUAAAAAACUAGACACCU